CCCUUAGAUGUUCUGGGCCGCACGCGCGCUACACUGACUGGUGCAACAAGUGUCGCUCCUUGGCCGAUAGGCCUGGGCAAUCUUUGAACGCCAGUCGUGAUGGGGAUAGAUUCUUGCAAUUUUUGAUCUUCAACGAGGAAUUCCUAGUAAACGCGAGUCAUCAACUCGCAUUGAUUACGUCCCUGCCCUUUGUACACACCGCCCGUCACACCUACCGAUUGAAUGGUCCGGUGAACCCUCCGGAUCGGCUCGCGCCAACGCAAGUUGAGCAAAGGCCGAGAAGUUGGGUAAACCUUACCAUUUAGAGGAAGGUGAAGUCGUAACA
rnacentral:rRNA from 1 species